rnacentral:rRNA from 1 species
AGAGUUUGAUCAUGGCUCAGGAUGAACGCUAGCGGGAGGCCUAACACAUGCAAGCCGAGCGGUAUUGUUCUUCGGAAAUGAGAGAGCGGCGUACGGGUGCGGAACACGUGUGCAACCUGCCUUUAUCUGGGGGAUAGCCUUUCGAAAGGAAGAUUAAUACUCCAUAAUAUAUUGAACGGCAUCGUUUAAUAUUGAAAGCUCCGGCGGAUAGAGAUGGGCACGCGCAAGAUUAGCUAGUUGGUGAGGUAACGGCUCACCAAGGCAAUGAUCUUUAGGGGGCCUGAGAGGGUGAUCCCCCACACUGGUACUGAGACACGGACCAGACUCCUACGGGAGGCAGCAGUGAGGAAUAUUGGUCAAUGGGUGCAAGCCUGAACCAGCCAUCCCGCGUGAAGGACGACUGCCCUAUGGGUUGUAAACUUCUUUUGUAUAGGGAUAAACCUUUCCACGUGUGGAAAGCUGAAGGUACUAUACGAAUAAGCACCGGCUAACUCCGUG